AACUAUAAGGGCUUGUUUAUAGUGCUUUCUGCACAAUGUUAUUAUAAAUUGCCGCAGUACCCUGACUGUGCUAAGGUAGCAUAAUCAUUUGGCUUAUAAUUGAAGUCUAGUAUGAACGAAGUUAUGGGGGUAGUCUGUUUCAAACAAGUAGUUCUAAUUUGCCUGGGGGGUGAAAAUGCCCUCGCAUAGAUAAAAGACGAGAAGACCCUUGAAAUUUUGAGCACACUAGUUCAGGUUUGUAUUUUUGUUGGGGCGACAAAGUAGCAUACAACCUACUGAUUUGCAUGGGCAACGUUUAGGUGGAAAAAUUAAAUUACUCUAGGGAUAACAGCAUAAUAUUUUGAAGUUUGUGACCUCGAUGUUGGACUAGGAAAAUAUAGUUUAGAAGACGACUAUGCUUGCUCUGUUCG
rnacentral:rRNA from 1 species